rnacentral:rRNA from 1 species
UACGGGGGGGGCAAGCGUUGUUCGGAAUUACUGGGCGUAAAGGGCUCGUAGGCGGCCAACUAAGUCAGACGUGAAAUCCCUCGGCUUAACCGGGGAACUGCAUCUGAUACUGGAUGGCCUGAGUUCGGGAGAGGGAUGCGGAAUUCCAGGUGUAGCGGUGAAAUGCGUAGAUAUCUGGAGGAACACCGGUGGCGAAGGCGGCAUCCUGGACCGACACUGACGCUGAGGAGCGAAAGCCAGGGGAGCAAACGGG